rnacentral:lncRNA from 1 species
GAGGCGGGAGCGCGCAGCUGAUACCAGGGGACUGGGCUGCGGCGGUUAGUCCUCUCCCGGCCGCCGUCGCCUCCGACAUAUUGCCCGCUGGAGCUGCGGCGGCGAAGCGGAGAGCGCCGGGGGGAGGAGAUGGGAGGACGAAGAGGUCCCAACAGGACAUCCUACUGUCGAAAUCCACUCUGUGAGCCAGGAUCCUCUGGGGGCUCAGGUGGGGGCCACACUUCCAGCGCAUCAGUCACCAGUGUCCGUUCCCGCACCAGGAGCAGUUCUGGGACGGGCCUCUCCAGCCCCCCCACUGGCCACCCAGACGGUCGUGCCCCCUGCAGCACUGCAAGAUCCCCGAGCUGCCAGUCCAGGCCAGCAUUCUGUUUGAGUUGCAGCUCUUCUUCUGCCAGCUCAUAGCCCUCUUCGUCCACUACAUCAACAUCUACAAGACAGUGUGGUGGUAUCCGCCCUCCCACCCGCCCUCCCACACCUCCCUGGGACUGUCCCACUUUCCUCCUCUGGGUCCUGUUCUACUCCUCUAGGUAUUUUCCUGGUCUGACUCAGCUGGAGGCCUGUGAAGAAUUUCCACCUGAUCGACUUCAACUUGCUGAUGGUGACCACCAUUGUUCUGGGCCGCCGCUUCAUUGGGUCCAUCGUGAAGGAGGCUUCUCAGAGGGGGAAGGUCUCCCUCUUUCGCUCCAUCAUGCUGUUCCUCACCCGCUUCACCGUUCUCACGGCAACAGGCUGGAGUCUGUGCCGCUCCCUCAUCCACCUCUUCAAGACCUACUCCUUCCUGAACCUCCUGUUCCUCUGCUAUCCGUUUGGGAUGUACAUUCCGUUUCCUGCAGCUGAACUGUGACCUCCGCAAGACAAACCUCUUCAGCCACAUGGCCUCCAUGGGUCCCCGGGAGGCGGUCAAGUGGCCUGGCACGGAGCCGGGACUACCUGCUGACACUUGCGGGAGACGUGGAAGCAGCACACGCGGCAGCUGUACGGCCCGGACGCCAUGCCCACCCACGCCUGCUGCCUGUCGCCCAGCCUCAUCCGCAGUGAGGUGGAGUUUCCUCAAGAUGGACUUCAACUGGCGCAUGAAGGAGGUGCUGGUCAGCUCAUGCUGAGCGCCUAUUUACGUGGCCUUUGUGCCUGUUUGGUUCGUGAAGAACACACAUUACUAUGACAAGCGCUGGUCCCUGCGAGCUCUUCCUGCUGUGUCCAUCAGCACCUCGGUGAUCCUCAUGCAGCACUGCUGCCUGCCAGCUACUGCGACCUGCUGCAUAAGGCCGCUGCCCCACCUGGGCUGCUUGGCAGAAGGUUUGACCCAGCACUGUGCUCCAAUGUACUGCAGCACCCGUGGACUGAAGAGUGCAUGUGGCCACAGGGCGUGCUGGUGAAGCACAGCAAGAACGUCUACAAAGCAGUGGGCCACUACAACGUGGCCAUCCCCUCCGAUGUCUCCCACUUCCGGUGUCCACGUGAGUCUCCUCCCCUGGGAAGGAGGGGUGGGGCCUGAUCUAGAGGGCAGGAGGAUCAGCUGGGCAGGAAGGUGAUGUCAUAGCAAGAGGCGGCCUAUUUCGAUAUUCCCAAAUCCAAAAGAAGACAAUGCACAUGUGCAGCCCAAGGACGGCCAUACAAAUGAUCCCUUCAUAACUGUAGCUCACUUGGUACCAGAUCUUUGAAAACAUUGGGUGGAGGUAGAAAAGAUGAUACAACAAAAGGAGGGGUUGUUGGUGGUGAAAAUAAUUACACUCGUCAUUCCUUACUGUGUGCUAGGCACUGUGGUAAACACUUUCCAUGCACCCUCCCAUUCAGUCUUCACCAGAACCUUGUGUAUGAAAGAAAUACCAGGGCUGUCCUGGUUUUCAGGUACUGAAAUCAGCUUAGAGAGUUUAACUUGUUCCAAGGGUGCCUUACUGGGAAACUUGGGAACUAAUGGUAAUGACUCAUGGACCCAGUACAAUGGAAAGGGCUGCUCAAAAUCAUCUGGGCUGGUGGUUUCCAUUUUAUUUACUUAUUUUACUGUUAAAAUCCUUUUCUCCAACUCAGUCAAACUAAAGUUCAGUAUAUAGGACUUCAUGGCGCUGCUCUGUUUGAAAGGGUUGGAACUCCCCUCACUUCCUGCUGACCACUGUGGUAGCCCCUAAAAGACCUCCUGGAACCUGGGCCUCUGAGGAACACAGUUUGAGAAAUCAUUGAUCUGGGCUAACCUCUUCUUUUCCCAGUAGAGAAACCUGAGGUUCAGACAGGGAAGGGACUUGCCCAAGGUCCUGCAGCCUGUCAGGUGCAGAGCUGAGCCUGGCGUGCUGGUCUCUCGGACUCCUGUAUCCUGGCACUUCUCCUGCCAUCCUAUAAUCAGCUCUUGAGGUUUAGGUACCUUGGCCCCUGCAGAAUCAAGAUCCCUGGACACGAUCAUUCUUUUAAACUGACCAGAAAAAUUUUCUUAGUCUCUACACUCUACCUUGCCCUGUAGACACCAGGUAAGAGUGAUGUGUCUCCGUGUCCCCUGGAAGCUUCCGGCCUAGCGGGGGAUGCUACACGUGAAAUAGUAAAUGACUCAGGCUGUAGAGUCUAUAAUAACUUUCCAUGCCUCUGUCAUAAGAUUCUACUUUGUUCAGGCCUGACAGUACCCAGGAAGUCACAUAUAAUAAGGUGUUGGUUUUCGACCAGCAAAAGUUUGAGAGAACAAGUAGGACUUCUCAAGAAAGGCUUCUGGGAGGAGGUGGAAGUUGAUCCGGAUCUUUUUUUUGUUUUUUUUUGAUCCGGAUCUUAAACAGCUUCUGUGGGAAGCAGUAGUCUUGACAGAAGGAAAACCACAAACAAAGGCAGAGAGAUGGCAAGGUCCACGCCCAGCCCUAUGAAGUCUUCCUCCCCACCCAAGUCUGCAUGGGGCCCGAGAGCUUGACCCCUUCACUGGCCUACCCAGAACCCCCUUCCAAGAGGCAGGUUUCUGGAGCCCACUUUCCAGUCCAUGCCUACUCUUUCCUGGGCAGUUCUUUUUCAGCAAACCCCUGCGGAUCCUCAACAUCCUUUUGCUGCUGGAGGGCGCUGUCAUCGUCUACCAGCUGUACUCCUUAAUGUCCUCUGAUAAGUGGCACCAGACCAUCUCACUGGCGCUCAUCCUCUUCAGCAACUACUACGCCUUCUUCAAGCUGCUGCGAGACCGCCUGGUAUUGGGCAAGGCCUACUCGUACUCGGUCAACCCCCAGAGGGACCUAGACCACCGGUUCUCCUGAGCCCCAGGGCGACCCAGGGACAGCAUCCAGGCUUCAGCCAGGGGCUCCCUGGGAAGCGGCUGUUGGGGAGGGAUGGGUGGGGGGCAAAAAAAAAAAAAAAAAAAAAAAGACAAAAAAAAUCCACCAGAGCUUUGUAUUUUUGUUACAUACUGUUUUUCUUUGAUAAUUGAUGUGAUUAUGAGGAGAAAAAAAAAGUCCUAUUUUUAUACUCCC